AUUGAACGCUGGCGGCAUGCCUUACACAUGCAAGUCGAACGGCAGCACGGGGCAACCUGGUGGCGAGUGGCGAACGGGUGAGUAAUGCAUCGGAACGUACCUUUCAGUGGGGGAUAACGUAGCGAAAGUUACGCUAAUACCGCAUAUUCUGUGAGCAGGAAAUCAGGGGGUCGCAAGACCUUGCGCUGAUUGAGCGGCCGAUGUCAGAUUAGCUAGUUGGUGAGGUAAAGGCUCACCAAGGCGACGAUCUGUAGCGGGGCUGAGAGGAUGAUCCGCCACACUGGAACUGAGACACUGUCCAGACUCCUACGGGAGGCAGCAGUGGGGAAUUUUGGACAAGGGGGGCAACCCUGAUCCAGCCAUGCCGCGUGAGUGAAGAAGGCCUUCGGGUUGUAAAGCUCUUUCGGCCGGGAAGAAAUCGCACGGGCUAAUACCCUGUGUGGAUGACGGUACCGGAAUAAGAAGCACCGGCUAACUACGUGCCAGCAGCCGCAGUAAUAC
rnacentral:rRNA from 1 species